UUUUCCAGAAAAUAUAUGAUUUUAAAAUAUUUUACAACAUUCUCUGGCUAAAACGUACCUUCAUCAACUCAACUAAAUUGUAAGAAGAACAAAUACCUUUUUUCUUUAAAAAAAACACCGGCUAACAGUUAGCUGCCAACGUGGCUUUUUUGCCCACGCAUCAUCCCGAUGACACAUCCGCACCAAACUGUCAGGUUGUUGUUCCUAAAUAAGCAGUUAGAAAGAUGAUAUAUAUACUUAGGUGCACUGCUAAGUUUGUGUACUAAUUAUGUGUUUAAAUAAAAAAAAUACAAACAUGCCCGGGAAAUAAUACGUGGGACUUGCAUGAAAGCAGAUAGUUAGUGGUACGAUCAAUACUAGAAAUAUGACCUCUUAUCUCUAGCAUUUGUACCGAUUAUAUUUGGAUCCGGUACUAAUGUUAGUUUUAGUACCAGAGAAGCCUCCCCGUCCAUGCACCAAACACUUAGAUUUUUUUAGUAAUUCCCUUAUCUCCUCCCUGGUCCAUGCCCGGCCUCAUCCUCAUCUCCUCUCUCCCCUCUCUCUCUCUCUCCUGUCUCUCCCUUCCUCUCCCUUCCUCUUCCUCCCCUCACCUCACCGGCCGAUCGGCCAGCCCCU
rnacentral:lncRNA from 1 species